rnacentral:rRNA from 1 species
AGAGUUUGAUCCUGGCUCAGGACGAACGCUGGCGGCGUGCUUAACACAUGCAAGUCGAACGAUGAACCUCUUCGGAGGGGAUUAGUGGCGAACGGGUGAGUAACACGUGGGCAAUCUGCCCUGCACUCUGGGACAAGCCCUGGAAACGGGGUCUAAUACCGGAUACGACCAUCUCGGGCAUCCGAUGGUGGUGGAAAGCUCCGGCGGUGCAGGAUGAGCCCGCGGCCUAUCAGCUUGUUGGUGGGGUGAUGGCCUACCAAGGCGACGACGGGUAGCCGGCCUGAGAGGGCGACCGGCCACACUGGGACUGAGACACGGCCCAGACUCCUACGGGAGGCAGCAGUGGGGAAUAUUGCACAAUGGGCGGAAGCCUGAUGCAGCGACGCCGCGUGAGGGAUGACGGCCUUCGGGUUGUAAACCUCUUUCAGCAGGGAAGAAGCGCAAGUGACGGUACCUGCAGAAGAAGCACCGGCUAACUACGUGCCAGCAGCCGCGGUAAUACGUAGGGUGCGAGCGUUGUCCGGAAUUAUUGGGCGUAAAGAGCUCGUAGGCGGCUUGUCGCGUCGGAUGUGAAAGCCCGGGGCUUAACCCCGGGUCUGCAUUCGAUACGGGCAGGCUAGAGUUCGGUAGGGGAGAUCGGAAUUCCUGGUGUAGCGGUGAAAUGCGCAGAUAUCAGGAGGAACACCGGUGGCGAAGGCGGAUCUCUGGGCCGAUACUGACGCUGAGGAGCGAAAGCGUGGGGAGCGAACAGGAUUAGAUACCCUGGUAGUCCACGCCGUAAACGUUGGGAACUAGGUGUGGGCGACAUUCCACGUCGUCCGUGCCGCAGCUAACGCAUUAAGUCCCCG